rnacentral:rRNA from 1 species
UACGAAGGGGGCUAGCGUUGUUCGGAAUUACUGGGCGUAAAGGGCGCGUAGGCUGUGCUGUAAGUCAGGCGUGAAAGCCCCGGGCUCAACCUGGGAAUUGCGCUUGAUACUGCGGCGCUGGAAGGUGGGAGAGGAUGGCGGAAUUCCCAGUGUAGAGGUGAAAUUCGUAGAUAUUGGGAAGAACACCGGUGGCGAAGGCGGCAUCUGGCCCACAUUUGACGCUGAGGCGCGAAAGCGUGGGGAGCAAACAGG